AGGCUUUGAUCCUGGCUCAGAACGAACGCUGGCGGCAGGCCUAACACAUGCAAGUCGAACGCCGUAGCAAUACGGAGUGGCGGACGGGUGAGUAACACGUGGGAACAUGCCCUUUGGUUCGGAAUAACUCAGGGAAACUUGAGCUAAUACCGGAUAAGCCCGAGAGGGGAAAGAUUUAUCGCCGAAGGAUUGGCCCGCGUCCGAUUAGCUAGCUGGUGAGGUAAUGGCUCACCAAGGCGACGAUCGGUAGCUGGUCUGAGAGGAUGAUCAGCCACACUGGGACUGAGACACGGCCCAGACUCCUACGGGAGGCAGCAGUGGGGAAUAUUGGACAAUGGGCGCAAGCCUGAUCCAGCCAUGCCGCGUGAGUGAUGAAGGCCCUAGGGUUGUAAAGCUCUUUCGCCAGGGACGAUAAUGACGGUACCUGGAUAAGAAGCCCCGGGU
rnacentral:rRNA from 2 species